rnacentral:rRNA from 1 species
UGCCACAGCCAUCUCACCCUGCAACCCAAGACCGGUCACCCACUGAAGCUAAGCAGGGUUGAGCCUGGUCAGUACCUGGAUGGGAGACCUCCUGGGAAAACUAGGUUGCUGUUGGAA